UUAUGGCCAUAUUCAUAUUGAAACACUGGUUCAUGUAUGAUCACCAAAGUUAAGCAACAUCAAGCCUGGUCAUUACUUAGAUGGGUGACCGCUUGGGAAUACCAGGUACUGUAAG
rnacentral:rRNA from 1 species